UGAUCCCGAUGAUAGCAACCUCAAAUAUGAAUCUGAUCCUGGUAGCAUCAUGGUGAAAUAUGAACCUGAUCCUGAUGACAGCAUCACAAAAGAUGAACCUGAUCCUGAUGACAGCAUCAUGAAAGUUGAACCUGAUCCUUAUGACAGCAUCAUGAAAGAUGAGCCUGAACCUGAUGACAGCAUUGUGAAAGAUGAACCUGAUCCUGAUGACAGGAUUACGAAAGAUAAACCCGAAUCUGAUGAUAGCAUCAUGAAAGAUGAUCCUGAUGACAGUAUUACAAAAGAUGGACCAGAUCCUGACACCAUCAUAAAAGAUGAACCUGAUCUUGAUAAAAGUAUUGCGAAAGAUGAACCCGAUCCUGAUGACAACAUCUUGAAAGAUGAACCUGAUCCUGAUCCUGAUGAAAGUAUCACGAAAGAUGAACCCGAUCCUCGUGAAUCUAUCACGAAAGAUGAACCCGAUCCUCGUGAAUCUUUGGGGAAAAUGGUAGAUUAUCUUAAGCAUGGAAGCUAUAAUGCUGAAACUAUCCGUGGUAAAUCGCUUCUAACAGUGGACGAUGUUAUGCAUGUUGAUUAUUAUGCACAUUCCGAAUCAUUGU
rnacentral:lncRNA from 1 species